rnacentral:rRNA from 1 species
UACGUAGGGGGCUAGCGUUGUCCGGAAUCAUUGGGCGUAAAGCGCGUGUAGGCGGUUCGGUAAGUCCGACUGUGAAAGUCGGGGGCUCAACCCUCGAAUGCCGGUGGAUACUGUCGGGACUAGAGUGCGGAAGAGGCGAGUGGAAUUCCGUGGUGUAGCGGUGAAAUGACGCAGAUAUCAAGAGGAACACCUGCGGCGAAGGCGGGUUGCUGGGCCGACACUGACGCUGAGGCGCGAAAGCCAGGGGAGGCGAACGGG